UCCAUCUACUUGGAGAAGAGACCUGUUC
rnacentral:piRNA from 1 species